GAUGGUUCAGUGGCAGAGCAUCUGCUUGGCAUGUGGAAGGUCCCAGAUUCAAUCCCCAGCAUCUCCA
rnacentral:tRNA from 1 species